CCUAACACAUGCAAGUCGAACGGUAACAGGAAGAAGCUUGCUUCUUUGCUGACGAGUGGCGGACGGGUGAGUAAUGUCUGGGAAACUGCCUGAUGGAGGGGGAUAACUACUGGAAACGGUAGCUAAUACCGCAUAACGUCGCAAGACCAAAGAGGGGGACCUUCGGGCCUCUUGCCAUCGGAUGUGCCCAGAUGGGAUUAGCUAGUAGGUGGGGUAACGGCUCACCUAGGCGACGAUCCCUAGCUGGUCUGAGAGGAUGACCAGCCACACUGGAACUGAGACACGGUCCAGACUCCUACGGGAGGCAGCAGUGGGGAAUAUUGCACAAUGGGCGCAAGCCUGAUGCAGCCAUGCCGCGUGUAUGAAGAAGGCCUUCGGGUUGUAAAGACUUUCAGCGGGGAGGAAGGGAGUAAAGUUAAUACCUUUGCUCAUUGACGUUACCCGCAGAAGAAGCACCGGCUAACUCCGUGCCAGCAGCC
rnacentral:rRNA from 1 species